UUUGUUUUAGAGUACUCCAAUUAACAGCCCCCAUUACCCCAAAAAGGAAUGGAGUCAUUAACACUUAUGGUUUUGAAAUGGCACCCAGAAUUAUGUUGCACGAAGCACAAUUUCACAUCAUUCUGGGUUCAUUUGUGUGAAAACAAGGUCCAAUCAGGCUGAAACGUUACAGGAAGGUAGAAUCUAUUGAGUUGUAAGUGAUCUGAACGUUUCAUGAUGAUAGCACUUUCCUAAGGGGGUCAAACCAUGUCCCAAAGGUCACCGGAUCUGGUGUCAAUUUAAAGUGCAUGUCAAGUGUGCCUCAGAGUCUUACCCCACCCACGUAUCAAUUUUGAAAACUGCAACAUUAGUAGGCGUUGCCUGGAGGACCGAGAGGGCGGAGCCGCGGCAGUGACGAAGAGACGGCUAACUAGACGAAGCUAGCUCCCUUCACUCUGAGCAGUCAUUAGAAGUGGAGGACGUUUCUCCCCCUCCUUACCCAGACACUCGAGAAGAAAGGGACCAAGUCUAUUUGGAGGAGACAAGCGGACAUGAGCCUUAUUGUUUUGAGCUUGUGAGUUGCCUGAAAUUACUGGAACCGACCCAACAGACCCAUCUCUGAACGUGAUCCUCUGGUGUCUGCAGCUGAUCUCCUGCUGAUGUCGUCGGGAUCAGGAGCUUCCAGAAGAAUGUGCCUUUCAAUGACUCUUUCCCCCUUAUUUGUUAUAUUAAUUAAAUAAAUCUCAAUUUAUAUAUUUCCUGUUUUUGUUCAUGUCCAUAAAUACUUAAACAUGCUUGAAAUUAAAACGAGCUUUUAA